GAUUGAGGUAUUUCACAAUAAUCGUUCAUUGAACCAUCUCUCACUCUUGUUGGUGUUAUCGUGCGUGUAUCUGUGGUUGCGUGCUGCCUGUGCCCUCGGUCGAUCCAAAGCAAAUUCUCCAUCAACUGCAGUUUCUCUUCAGGAUGUCAGGCAGAAGAGUAGUGGUGUUCUCUUCAGCAGCAGAGCUUGGUCCAGCUCUGGCUCACCUGGUAGCAUUUCGGGCUGACAAGGCCCUGUUGGACCAUGGCCGGUUCUCCCUGGGCCUCUCAGGGGGCAGCCUGGAAGGAGCAAGGAGGUGCCUGCCCUGCCAGACCUGGACUGCAGCCACUGGCUAGCAGGUUUCUGUGAUGAGAGGCUGGUUCCCUUUGACGAUGGAGAGAGUACCUAUGGACUGUACAAGAAUCGGUUGUUCUCCUAAAUCAACAUCCCAGACAGUGGGGUCCUGACGAUUGACCCCUCUUUAUCUGUACAGGAGUGUGCUGAGGAUUAUGCCCGCAAACUGAAGGAGUGUGAAGGGAACCCGUGCAGAUACUUUGUGCGACCGCGUGGGAGCGAAGUGUUGCAUCUCGCUCAUCUCAAUACCUCCAGUGCUGCUUGUGGCAACGUCAUUUCACUGAGUCCUGAAAGGAGGAUAUCUCUGUGUUUGAUCUGUUGCUGCUGGACAUGGGGCCUGAUGGACACACCUGUUCUCUCCUCCCAGACCAUCCCCUGCUGUAGGAAACCUAGAAAAUUGUGGCCCCAAUCGGUGACUCGCCCAAGCCCCCACCACAACGUGUGACCAUGACAUUUCCCAUGGUGAACUUAGCCCACUGUGUGGUCUUUGUGUCAACAGGGGGCAGCAAAGCACCAGUGCUAAAGGUACUGUAUCCUAUCCUCCAAACUGGCAUCCUCUCUGACGCAAUAAUAUCUCACCCUGAUCCUAACCUAUUAAGCAUCAAGAAAUGUCACUAUGAAGACUUGAUUCAGGUUAUUUGUAUUUAUGUUUACCUGUAAUUUACUGUUUAAAAAAAUAUAUAUCACAAAAAUAGAUCUCACUGUAAAACAGUAAUGCAUUGAGAGCAUUUCUGUGGUUGUUGUUAACACUACGAGAAGUGAGCUUUUCCUUUCAAGUGCUGGAGGGUGGUGAAGGCCCGGCCCUACCUGCAGCCAGAGUGGUCCCCAGCCACGGUGAGCUGUUCUGGCUCACAGAUGAACCGGCCACUGCUUCCUUGACACUCCAAAUGGAGAGACCAGGCUCUGCAGCAAAACUCUACAGACCAAAGAGAAGGACAAAAAGGAGCUCAAAAACUCAACACCCACAGAGAAAAAUGUACAGGAUAUCAUUGAACAAUCCUGUUCCUAUUUGACAGUGUUAUGUUUUAGGCAUGAGAUUAAACCCUACCUAUCAGGGAAAUGGGAUUUAAGUGAAUUAAUGAAUGAAUAGGAAAAACAUUGGAUUGUUUACACAUCAGUUGUAGAACGGUGCUGAAUGUAUGUAUAAUGAUGGGGAAACCAUUUGAAGUAGUUGCUGCAUGAUUCAUUCCAGAGGAAACGGUGUAAUGUCAUAAUAAUACAAAUAGUUUUACGGUUAAAGUUUCAGGGUUCUUUAGUGUGUACUAUACCUCUCUCAUCAUUACUCAAUGCCUAGGUUUACCUCCAAUGUACUCACAUCCUACCUUACCUUUGUCUGU